CUACGUGCCAGCAGCCGCGGUAAUACGUAGGGUGCGAGCGUUAAUCGGAAUUACUGGGCGUAAAGCGAGCGCAGACGGUUACUUAAGCAGGAUGUGAAAUCCCCGGGCUCAACCUGGGAACUGCGUUCUGAACUGGGUGACUAGAGUGUGUCAGAGGGAGGUAGAAUUCCACGUGUAGCAGUGAAAUGCGUAGAGAUGUGGAGGAAUACCGAUGGCGAAGGCAGCCUCCUGGGAUAACACUGACGUUCAUGCUCGAAAGCGUGGGUAGCAAACAGGAUUAGAUACCCUGGUAGUCCACGCCCUAAACGAUGUCAAUUAGCUGUUGGGCAACUUGAUUGCUUAGUAGCGUAGCUAACGCGUGAAAUUGACCGCCUGGGGAGUACGGUCGCAAGAUUAAAACUCAAAGGAAUUGACGGGGACCCGCACAAGCGGUGGAUGAUGUGGAUUAAUUCGAUGCAACGCAAAGAACCUUACCUGGUCUUGACAU
rnacentral:rRNA from 1 species